rnacentral:tRNA from 1 species
GCUCCCAUAGCUCAACGGACAGAGCGUCCGCCUUCUAAGCGGAAAAUAGAAGUUCGAUUCUUCUUGGGAGCA